rnacentral:lncRNA from 1 species
CCAGACAGGUCCAAAGGGUAGAAAGGGUGCACAGGUGUGAAAAUCACAUAAUUCUGCACAAUUUUUCCUUCAAGUCUAUUCAAAUUUAUCUUUAAUACUUUUCAGGGUGAUCCUGGAAUUGAAGGUCAGAUUGGACGACUUGGUCCAAAGGGGGAUGUUGGGUUGAAAGGUGAUAAGGGUGAAGUUGGUGUAGGCGGAGCAAAGGUAUUGUGGGGCUAGCAUCCAUGUUUUUCAUGUUAUUCUGAAGCUACAUUGUGUUGCUGCUUGUGUUUAUCCUUUGUCUCCUUGCAUCACAAACCCUUAGGGUGUGGCAGGCGUACCAGGAAAAAAUGGAGUUCACGGACAAAAGGGUACAAUGGGCAGAAUUGGAGCUCCUGGCUGCAAAGGUGAUCCAGGCAAUGAGGGACCAGAGGGCUACCAAGGAGAAGCUGGUGAGACCGGUCCUCAAGGAUCCAAUGG